CGAGGAACUGAGAGGAAUUUGGAUCUUUCCUGGAGUGAACUGAAGAAAGAAGUUACUUUAGCUGUUGAAAAUGAGCUUCAAGGAAGUGUAACAGAGUAUGAAUUCUCCCAGGAGGAGUUUCGAAAUUUACAACAAGAAUUCUGGUGCAAGUUCUAUGCCUGUUGUCUUCAGUAUCAAGAAGCCCUCUCUCAUCCUCUUGCCCUACAUUUGAAUCCACACACAAACAUGGUGUGCCUGCUGAAAAAAGUAAGUGAGCUAAAGCAUAGAGAAGAUCUUCUUGAGACAGUUCAGUGGCUUUUAUAACAAAAUGCCUUCAGAAAACAAGUUCAGUGGCUCUUGCCGAAUGUUAGUCUGGUGAAUGUUGCAGUUAGCAUUUAGGACUUUGCAUUUGUAUUUUUUCCCCUAAAAUUGUGAUUCAUUCAUUUAAAUAGUUUUCUGUGUUAUUCUCUAUACUUUUUUUGUAUUUUAUUGUAUUUAUUUACUUUUUUUUUUUUUUUUUCUUUUUUUGAGUUGGAGUCUUGCUCUGUCACCCAGGCUGGAGUGCAGUGGCAUGAUCUCAGCUCACUGCAACCUCCGCCUCCGGGGUUCAAGCAAUUCUCCUGUCUCAGCCUCCUGAGUAGCUGGGACUACAGGUGUACACCAUCACG
rnacentral:sRNA from 1 species